UACGGAGGGGGCUAGCGUUGUUCGGAAUUACUGGGCGUAAAGGGCACGUAGGCUGGCUGUUAAGUCGGUGGUGAAAUCCCGAGGCUCAACCUCGGAAUUGCCUUCGAUACUGACGGUCUUGAGUGCGGGAGAGGUGAGUUGAAUUCCCAGUGUAGAGGUGAAAUUCGUAGAUAUUGGGAAGAACACCAGUGUCGAAGGCGGCUCACUGGCCCGCAACUGACGCUGAGGUGCGAAAGCGUGGGUAGCAAACAUG
rnacentral:rRNA from 1 species